AAUACUGUCGCUCAUGCACGAAAGCGUGGGUAGCAAACAGGAUUAGAUACCCUGGUAGUCCACGCCCUAAACGAUGUCAACUAGGUGUUGGGUGGGUAAAACCAUUUAGUACCGGAGCUAACGCGUGAAGUUGACCGCCUGGGGAGUACGGCCGCAAGGUUAAAACUCAAAGGAAUUGACGGGGACCCGCACAAGCGGUGGAUGAUGUGGAUUAAUUCGAUGCAACGCGAAAAACCUUACCUACCCUUGACAUGUUCAGAAGCCUGAAGAGAUUUGGGUGUGCCCGAAAGGGAGCUGGAACACAGGUGCUGCAUGGCUGUCGUCAGCUCGUGUCGUGAGAUGUUGGGUUAAGUCCCGCAACGAGCGCAACCCUUGUCGUUAAUUGCCAUCAUUUAGUUGGGCACUUUAACGAGACUGCCGGUGACAAACCGGAGGAAGGUGGGGAUGACGUCAAGUCCUCAUGGCCCUUAUGGGUAGGGCUUCACACGUCAUACAAUGGUCGGUACAGAGGGUUGCCAAGCCGCGAGGUGGAGCCAAUCCCAGAAAGCCGAUCGUAGUCCGGAUCGUAGGCUGCAACUCGCCUGCGUGAAGUCGGAAUCGCUAGUAAUCGCGGAUCAGCAUGUCGCGGUGAAUACGUUCCCGGGUCUUGUACACACCGCCCGUCACACCAUGGGAGCGGGUUCCGCCAGAAGUAGGUAGCCUAACCGCAAGGAGGGCGCUU
rnacentral:rRNA from 1 species